UGAGGAAUAUUGGUCAAUGGACGCAAGUCUGAACCAGCCACGUCGCGUGAAGGAAGACGGCCCUACGGGUUGUAAACUUCUUUUGUAAGGGAAUAAAGUGAUUCACGUGUGUAUCAUUGCAUGUACCUUACGAAUAAGGAUCGGCUAACUCCGUGCCAGCAGCCGCGGUAAUACGGAGGAUCCGAGCGUUAUCCGGAUUUAUUGGGUUUAAAGGGUGCGCAGGCGGAAUAUUAAGUCGGCGGUGAAAUUUUGCAGCUUAACUGUAAAAGUGCCUUCGAAACUGGUUUUCUUGAGUGUAGAUGAAGUAGGCGGAAUUUGUGGUGUAGCGGUGAAAUGCAUAGAUAUCACGAGGAACUCCUAUUGCGCAGGCAGCUUACUAAACUACUACUGACGCUCAUGCACGAAGGCGUGGGGAUCAAACAGG
rnacentral:rRNA from 1 species